UACGGGGGGGGCAAGCGUUGUUCGGAAUUACUGGGCGUAAAGGGCGCGUAGGCGGCCUGCUAAGUCGGACGUGAAAUCCCUCGGCUCAACCGGGGAACUGCGUCCGAUACUGGUGGGCUCGAAUCCGGGAGAGGGAUGUGGAAUUCCAGGUGUAGCGGUGAAAUGCGUAGAGAUCGGGAGGAACACCAGUGGCGAAGGCGACUUCCUGGCCUGUUCUUGACGCUGAGGCGCGAAAGCUAGGGGAGCAAACAGG
rnacentral:rRNA from 1 species